rnacentral:lncRNA from 1 species
AUCAUUUGUAGGAGCAGAAACACACAGAAAUUUCCUCCUACAUCUUGAAAAAUGUAUUUAUAAGAAACUUUAGGUUUCAAAUUUUUUUUUCAAACAUCUUAUGGAGGACUUUUAAGGUAAUACUGAAAACACUAUCAGCUUAAGAAAUCUGAGUCUGUUCCUUAUAUGAAUAAAAUUCAUUCAGCACACACAGCAUGCAUGCCUUACUGCAUGAGCUGUAAAUUGUCCCUUCAUGAUUCAAACAGGACAAAAGAGGCCUUCAAACAAACCAGAGCACUGCAAAGACUUCCCUGGACAGCCUUUUCCAGACACCUUCACCUGUGAACAUCUAAUGCAUUAUCUUUGAAGAGAUUAAGAUCCAUGAAAGAUAAUCUCUGGUGUUGCUUUGGAAGAGCUCUUGGGCAGGGUGGUCCCAUUGCUGAGUUUUGUGUUCAAAAACAGCCACGAGGCACAGCUGGAGCUCCAUGGAUCCAAAGCAGGAGUCCAUGCAUCAGGUUUCAUGUUUAGAGUACGAAGAAGGACAUCUUGUAAAGGCACCUUUUCAUCUGUGGACAGACCAUAAAAAUCCUCUCAGAAGGGGACUCAGGAAUUUAGAGAGAAAAAAUGAACGCGCUUGGAAAAAGCGAGACGAAUUUGGGAAUCUCUCUGUUCCCACAGACCUCUGUUCACUGAGCAGAUGCAGCCAAGAUGAGCUUGGAGCAGCAGUGAAAGUGCUGGCUCAUUACCCAGGUGCCUCUUAACACGUCUGUCAGCUCAGAGAAACAGCACAGCUCUCUGCUUUCAUCUCUGUGACCACAAGCUGAUGGGCCCAAGGGUCAGUUUUGAAGUGCACACAUAUUUGGUGCAGUUUAUUUUUU